CCUACGGGAGGCAGCAGUGGGGAAUAUUGCACAAUGGGGGCAACCCUGAUGCAGCGACGCCGCGUGAGUGAAGAAGUAUUUCGGUAUGUAAAGCUCUAUCAGCAGGGACGAGACAAGACGGUACCUGACUAAGAGGCCCCGGCUAACUACGUGCCAGCAGCCGCGGUAAUACGUAGGGGGCAAGCGUUAUCCGGAAUAACUGGGGGUAAAGGGAGCGGAGACGGCUGUGCAAGCCUGAAGUGAAAGGCGGGGGCACAACCCCCGGACUGCUUUGGGAACUGUACGGCUGGAGUGCAGGAGAGGUAAGUGGAAGUCCUAGUGUAGCGGUGAAAUGCGUAGAUAUGAGGAGGAAUACCAGUGGCGAAGGCGGCUUACUGGACUGUAACUGACGUUGAGGUGCGAAAGCGUGGGGAGCAAACAGGAUUAGAUACCCUAGUAGUC
rnacentral:rRNA from 1 species